AGAACCUCUAGAUAUUGAACCCAGCCCUUGUUACUGCAGACUCCAGCUGGCAGAAGAGGUACAUAUACUUCAAUUGAGUCUUAGAAGGUGUGCAUUCCCCUAAAAAAAAGAGGAAGUAGGAAGGGUUAAAUAGAAAGAUUCAAUAGGUUAUGUGGCAGGGUGGAUGAGGUCCAGAAGCCCCCUGCUGGAGGCCUCAUAGCCCUGCAUCACCCUGCCCCAGAAAAGAGCAUCAAGAAGUCCUCCAAGCAGGCUAGAGUGGCUGCUGAGGAGCGGCCAAUCAAAGAGGCUGAUGAAGCAGCCAAUCUGGAGCCAGAAGGGCCCUAUAUAAGACAAGAAGUUCAGGCUGCUGAAGACUGGGUGCCUGGCUGGUAGGAAGAAUAGCAAGACCAGCAGGCAGGCUGAAGCUCAGAGGGACUGAGAACAGAACUUGGCCAGGUCAGCGAGGGUACUGAGAGGGGCCCCAUUGUUCUGGUUGAAGACUGAGCCCAGAGAGGCCUGCUGAAACACUACCAGCUGUGGAUAGUGAGAUGGGCGGUGGAAGAAGGCAGUGCCUCUGAGAAGAAACCUAAGAGCUAAGGCCCCAUAGCAGGGACUGUAUACCCUGGAAGGGGGGAAUAGUGUAUGCGGCUCUGGCUGAGUUGCUGAAGACCUGCCGAGAGAACCAUAAACCAGGGGGCGCUCGCAAGAGGCGAGUGCCACCCUGAUAUAAAAACUAAAACCAAAAGCAGGCUUUCACUCAACCAACCAAGGGAGGCUGCCCAUGAGAGGUGGAUGCCACCUUGCUGAAAAGACUGUGAUUACAGGUACAUGGGCCAGAGAAAAGGGGGUGCUCACAAAGGGUGGGUGCCACCCUGUUACAGGUUAUUUAAGCCAAAUGGAUCAACUUCCAACUCAACAGAAUGCAAUAGAAAGAGCAUAAAAUAUGGCAGUUAAAUGUAAAAAUGGAAAUUUGGAGGGUUUGGCAAGACUUUGAAUGGUGAUUAGCCAAAGACACACACUCUUUCUAUAUAUCUAAGCAAGAAGCCUGUGCUAGAAUUGGUGAUCCCUCUGGCCUUGUAGGGAGUAAUUAAAAGAGUAUGGAGACACUGCAGAGGGAUUAAGGCCCCAAGCCUAAAUGUUUGCAGGAUUCGGACACAAAUAAUUUAUUUGUAUCAAUCGCCACCAGAGAGGAUGCUGGGGUGAUACCUAUGCUUUUUCAGGUAACAAAGAUGAGCCAAAGACUGAUGUGUCAAAAAUAGGAUUGCUGGAAUAAACCAGUAAAACAAAAUAGCAACCACUCACCUGGACCAGAUAGUUAAACUGAAGAAUGCUGGAGGAAUUUAAUAACGAAGUAAAGCUGCUAACCACUGAAAUCAGCUACUGUAGCUGAGACCUGGGAUAUCGUAAACACUGAAUCUAUAGCUAACUGUUGGGGUGAUCCCAGGAGCUACAGACUGGGUGAAAAUGAUAUGAUGGGGAAGCCAACACAACUUGUGUAAAGGAGACUGAUGGUGUUGGCACUCGGAUAUCAGGACUUGUGGAUGGUGCUGUUGUAAUGUGUGUCAAUGCGCGACUUGUGGACCAGGACCCGGAAGACCUGGCUUAACUGCAGCCUGCGCAUUCGUUUGUUUGGUAGCCCCCUUCACCAGAGUUAUCUGGGUGAAGAGCUCUGAAACCAUAGUCUGGCAG